AUCAUGUUCAAACUCUUCAUUUUUUUGGUCUCUCUGCACUUCUGCUCUACAGAUCCAUCAAAAAACAGCGUUCAUCAGAGUCCAGCUGCAUUGAUCAGAGAACCAGGAGAAUCAGUCCAGAUAAACUGCAGUCAUUCAAACACCAACUUCAACAUGAUCCAGUGGUACAAACAGCCUCCUGGGAAAACCGACAUGACUCUCCUUGGUUACGCUCGUUUUACUUCACACACUGUUGAAGAUCAGUUUCAAAACCUUUAUAAAGUGACUGGUAGCGGCCAGAGUCUGUCGUCUCUUGUCAUUCCAAAGCUGAGGCAGUCUGAGGACAGCGCCGUGUAUUUCUGUGCUGCCAGUGAUGCACAGUGCUGCAUGAAGCCUCAGGCUCCAACAAAAACCCUCACUGAUACCAGAGGAGCCAUCAUUCACCUGCUGAUAGCAGCAAGAGAUACAGGGAAACCUCAGAGGAGGGACUGAUCACCCAGCUGUGGAGCCAUACCGUCCACUAGGAGGCAGUGUUUCUCAAAAAAUGCUCUCAGACAGAAGCAAUUAUUUUCCUUCCUGUUGAUAAAGAGUCGAACAAUACAAUUGAUUACACA